AGUAGAAUGAAGUCAGAGGAAACUCUGAUGGAGGUUCGUAGGGGGUUCUGACGUGCAAAUCGAUCUUUAAACUUGAGUAUAGGGGCGAAAGACUAAUCGAACCAUCUAGUAGCUGGUUCCCCUCCGAAGUUUCCCCUCAGGAUAGCUAGGAACUUUAAUAGAAUUAGUUUUAUCAGGUAAAGCGAAUGAUUAGAAGCUCGUGGGGAUGAAACAUCCUCGACUUUAUUCUACAAAACUUUUAAAUAGGUAAAGAAGAUUGCAGUACUUAACUGACUGUCAGUCUCUUGAAUAGUAAGUUCUUAGUGGGCCAUUUUUGGUAAGCAGAACUGGCGAUGUGGGAUGAACCAAACGUAAAGUUAAAAGUGCCUAAAAAUACGUUCAAUCAGAUAACCACAAAAGGUGUUGAUUCAUCUUGACAGUUGGACAGUGGCCAUGGAAGUCGGAAUCUGCUUAGGAGUGUGUAACAACUCACCAACCGAAUGAAUUAGCCCCUGAAAAUGGAUGGCGCUUAAACGUAUUACUUAUACUUUACCAUUAGAAUAAAUGACUAAAUUCU
rnacentral:rRNA from 1 species